CCCCUCUCCCACCUCAUGGCGGAGAUAGCCACCACGCUAGCUCCGCCACAGGUGGCUAAUCUGGCGGAAGCCGCUCUAGGCUGCUUUAAAGAUGAAAUGCUCCACCUUCUUACCAAGAAACGCAUAGACUUCCAGCUGCAGCAAUCUCCAGGUGGAGCAACCAUUAACACCAACGCAGCUGCUGCUUACAUUAGCAGUAAGCAAGAGGUCAGAGAUGAUAAUACUAUUGAUAGGAUUAGACUUGGUUUAUCAAGGGCAAUCAUACAAGAGCCAGAAAUGAUACCCUCAAACAAGCCUUGGGACUCGGCAGGAGAAACAUCUGUGAGCUUUGCUUGCAAUGCUUUCCCUGCAUCUGUUUCCGGAUUUCACUAUGGAACUUCGUCUUUUGGGAACGAAGGAGAUGCGUCUCCGUGGAGUCAGU
rnacentral:lncRNA from 1 species